rnacentral:misc_RNA from 1 species
UACUUCUAGAAAUGUUAUCUGGCCGACGAGCUAUAGACAAGAAUCGGCCAACAGGGCAGCAUAAUCUGGUGGAGUGGGCAAAACCUUACUUGACAAACAAACGCAAAAUUCUCCAUGUGUUGGAUACGCGUCUGGAUGGCCAAUACUCCCUCAGUCGAGCCCAAAAGUUGGCUAACCUUGCACUUAAAUGCUUAGAUGUAGAACCAAAGUUCAGACCAAACAUGGAUGAGGUGGUAAAGGAAUUAGAGCAGCUUCAAGAAUCAAAUAAAAAAG